CCGAGUUAGGGUCUCUCGUAGGCCCGACCUCCCAACCCUGUGUCUACCAAACCAAUUUGUUGCUUCGGCGGACCGGUCGUUAUCGACCGCCGGAGGGUGCACAACCCUCCCUCUGGAGAGCGCCCGUCGACGGCCUAAUCCAAAAAAACUCUUGUACUUAAACGUGUCGUCUGAAUCUAGUUUGUACAAUUACAAAAUCAAA
rnacentral:misc_RNA from 1 species